CAGCUAGUUGGCGGGGUAAAAGCCCACCAAGGCUUCGAUCAGUAGCUGGUCUGAGAGGACGACCAGCCACACUGGGACUGAGACACGGCCCAGACUCCUACGGGAGGCAGCAGUGGGGAAUUUUGGACAAUGGGCGCAAGCCUGAUCCAGCCAUGCCGCGUGCGGGAAGAAGGCCUUCGGGUUGUAAACCGCUUUUGGCAGGAACGAAACGGCGCGAGCGAAUAUCUCGCGUUAAUGACGGUACCUGCAGAAUAAGCACCGGCUAACUACGUGCCAGCAGCCGCGGUAAUACGUAGGGUGCAAGCGUUAAUCGGAAUUACUGGGCGUAAAGCGUACGCAGGCGGCUUUGCAAGACAGGUGUGAAAUCCCCGGGCCUAACCUGGGAACUGCAUUUGUGACUGCAUGGCUAGAGUUUGUCAGAGGGGGGUGGAAUUCCACGUGUAGCAGUGAAAUGCGUAGAUAUGUGGAGGAACACCGAUGGCGAAGGCAGCCCCCUGGGAUGUGACUGACGCUCAUGUACGAAAGCGUGGGGAGCAAAC
rnacentral:rRNA from 1 species